CUAAAGGAGGAUGCUCUGGUAAACUUCUGGUUUAUAUGUUGAAAGAAUGACUUAAAGACUCGGAAUUGUUGCUGGGUGGGAUGGGCCUGGGUUUCCUGACUAAGUAGUAUGUGUACAGUGGGGAUACCUUAUAUAGGUGUUUCUUCUAGCAUGGUUAUGGGGGGUAACAACAACAAAACAAUGUACAGCAUAUUCAUAUCCAGCAAAGACAAAAGAGGUCCUUACCUGGGAAAAAGGUUGAAUACAGAGACAGAACAAUAGGAAAACAGGUAGUAUUACAGGAAAACUACUAGUCUUAAGAUUUUUAACUACAUCACUUGGCUUGGUAAGUCCUUAAGCUUUGGCUGUGAGUAGACUAGUCAGCUGCCAGUGUGACUAGAGCAGGGCUUGUUUCAAGCUUCAGCCAUGCAUAGACUGGUCAGCCUCUGGAGUGACCAGAGCAGGGCUAUCGUCCUCAGCAGCAGCUUGGUCUCAUCUCAGGAUCAGCCGGGUUGGAUGAUCUGUGUCCUGCUGGCUGGUCUGCUUGUCCUGAGCUGCCAGUGUUAGCUGACUGGGAUGGAUCUGAGACACAACACCUGCAACUUCUAACAGCAGUAGGAGUAGACAAGAUUACAGUAUAGGGCCCAUCCUAUAUGGGUCCUAGAAAAAUUAGAUUUUACUUUUUUACUUUAA
rnacentral:lncRNA from 1 species